rnacentral:lncRNA from 1 species
AGAAGGGAUUGGAGGAAACAGGCUGAAGACAGAUGCUGCAGUGGGAGUGUGGAGAGAUGUGAAGGCAACAGCAGGAAUAAUGAUAAGAUUGGUUGUGAGGUACUGUAUAGAUGAGAUGGAUAGGACCAGAGAUGCACCUGAGAGCAGGAGGAAAAGGAGAGGAAAAUGGUCAUGUGGGUGCCAGAUAGUACUGCAUAACCUCUCCUUUUGAAUUUGAGGUACCUGCGUCUGCCAAGAGUAGCUUUUCCAUUUCACAACCAUCACACUUUCCUGUGAGUUCAGAGUUAAUGAAGACAUGUGGAUGCAAAAGGAAAACUUGCAGAGCAAAGUCAUUGCCAAACAGGUUGUGUAGCCUGACCUGUGAAACAUUGUGAAGAAGGAAGAUCGCAGUUUCAGGGAAGAUGACUCGAUAACACCACAGAACAGGUGCCAGGAACUCUGCUAGAUGCUGGAG